GUUUACUGCCUAUAUUGUUCUGUAUUUAUCUGUCAUUGGGCUUUUUCAAAAAAAUAUGCUGUGUGUCUCCUCAAGGUCUGGUAUAUCCACCCUAUUAAUUAUGCUUUUUUUACUCACAAGGGCUAACAACUCAUGGUUCCAUAUACUCGAGACAAGUGUCAAGGUUAAAGGAAAGAAGGUCCACUUCUAUUUAGCUUAAUGCUUUUAUCCCUAGGGCAUUUGGCUGAGUUAGUUGUGGUUUAUGGGUACCUUGAGAACAAUUGUUGUAGUCAUUCUUUUUAUCUCUCUUGCCAAUUUCCAUACUGAUUCAUUCUUAGUUUACACUGGUUGCCAGCCUUUUUCUUUCAUAAAACUUUUCAACAUCCAACAAUAAAAUCUCUGGUAGUGAUAUUACGUGAUAGGAGAACUGUUAAUUUGUCUAUGUUAAACAGGUAGAUAUCAUAAUCUGUUCAGUUGUGUACAACUUCAGAUGUAUGGUAUAUUUGUUUGAUUGAUACAUUGUCCAUGUUCUUUUUCUUUAACCUUGCAAAUGAUGAAGGUGAAAUUUUCAAUGCAGCAACACUUGCUCUGCCUGAAAC
rnacentral:misc_RNA from 1 species